UACGGGGGGGGCAAGCGUUGUUCGGAAUUACUGGGCGUAAAGGGUUUGUAGGUGGCCUGCUAAGUCAGACGUGAAAUCCCUCAGCUUAACUGGGGAACUGCGUCUGAGACUGGUAGGCUCGAGGACAGGAGAGGAACGCGGAAUUCCAGGUGUAGCGGUGAAAUGCGUAGAUAUCUGGAGGAACGCCUGAAGCGAAAGCGGCUACCUGGCCCUGUCCUGACACUGAGGUGCGAAAGCGUGGGGAGCGAACCGG
rnacentral:rRNA from 1 species